UACGGAGGGUGCAAGCGUUGUUCGGAAUUAUUGGGCGUAAAGCGCGUGCAGGCGGUCAGGUAAGUCAGAUGUGAAAGCCUUCCGCUUAACGGGAGAAGUGCAUUUGAAACUGCCUGGCUUGAGUUCGGGAGAGGAAAGUGGAAUUCCCGGUGUAGAGGUGAAAUUCGUAGAUAUCGGGAGGAACACCGGUGGCGAAGGCGGCUUUCUGGCCCGAUACUGACGCUGAGACGCGAAAGCGUGGGGAGCAAACAGG
rnacentral:rRNA from 1 species